UACGGAGGGAGCUAGCGUUGUUCGGAAUUACUGGGCGUAAAGCGCACGUAGGCGGCGAUUCAAGUCAGAGGUGAAAGCCCGGGGCUCAACCCCGGAACUGCCUUUGAAACUAGAUCGCUAGAAUUCUGGAGAGGCGAGUGGAAUUCCGAGUGUAGAGGUGAAAUUCGUAGAUAUUCGGAAGAACACCAGUGGCGAAGGCGGCUCGCUGGACAGACAUUGACGCUGAGGUGCGAAAGCGUGGGGAGCAAACAGG
rnacentral:rRNA from 1 species